AGUGAACGCUGGCGGUAGGCCUAACACAUGCAAGUCGAACGGCAGCACAGUAAGAGCUUGCUCUUACGGGUGGCGAGUGGCGGACGGGUGAGGAAUACAUCGGAAUCUACUUUUUCGUGGGGGAUAACGUAGGGAAACUUACGCUAAUACCGCAUACGACCUACGGGUGAAAGCAGGGGAUCUUCGGACCUUGCGCGAUUGAAUGAGCCGAUGUCGGAUUAGCUAGUUGGCGGGGUAAAGGCCCACCAAGGCGACGAUCCGUAGCUGGUCUGAGAGGAUGAACAGCCACCUUGGAACUGGGACCGGGUCCAGCCCCCUAGGGGAGGCAGCAGGGGGGAAUUUUGGAAAAUGGGCGAAACCCUGAUCCAGCCAAACCGGGGGGGUGAAGAAGGCCUUGGGGUUGUAAAGCCCUUUUUUUGGGAAAAAAAAGCAGCAGGUUAAUCCCCCGCUUUUCUGACGGUACCCAAAAAAAAAGCCCCGGCCAACUUCGU
rnacentral:rRNA from 1 species